UAGGAGAAGAUCUCCAGAUGGGUUUGGUGUCCACCCAGAAUUGUCCCACCGAAGGUCACCAAUUUACAGGAUGGAGAGGAUAAGAUCACCCGAUAACCCAGGUUUUCCUGCAGAGAGGGUGCCUAGGAGGCAUGGUUCCCCUUCGUAUUUGUCCCGACCUAAUGAUUUGAGGGAAAUGGAUCCUGGUCGGGAUCAUGGUCAUCCAAGGUCUAUCAUCUCUAAUAGGAGCCCAACUGGCCGGAUUUUUCUCAGAAACAGUAGGAGAUUUGGUGUUGCUGAUCCUAGAGAAAGGGCAGAAAAUGAUGAGUUUUAUGAGGGACCCAUGCAUCCUAGCCGGUUUCAUGAACUUGGUGGUGAUGGAAAUGGUCAAGAGAGAAGGUUUGGUGAGAGACGGGCACCUGUUCGUGCUUUUAGGCCUCCUUUUAAUGGUGCUGAUGGUGAAAAUUUUCCUCUCAAUACAGAGGAUGGCCCUAGGUCCUUUAGGUUCUUCCCUGAAGAUGAUCCAGAUUUCCAUGAACGAGCUAAUUUGAGGGGAAGGGAACUUGACAGACGGAUCAAGAACCGUCCAGGAAAUGCACCUAGAAGACCAAGAAGCAUUGAAGAACAAGAAGGAAAUUACCGGCAUGGAGGGCAGGUGUUGUAUGACGAUAGUUUUGAUGAUAUGUCGCGAGUGAAGAGAAAAAGAUUUUGACUAGACUAAUUUACAUCUGCAAUAUGCUAGAUCCUGGACUGCUUAGUGGAUAUGAGGAACCGGAAGGCAGAAUUAGUUCUGGUAAUUACAGCUAGAUAUAGGAAGUUGCUAUUCUGUUUGUGGUUCUCAGCCACUUUGUGAGUGUGAUAUGGAGUUAUGGAUGCUGGGUUGAUUUUAGACCACAUACUACCAGAUACUUGCAACUACUGGAUGAUUGAUCUGUCUUGUACAUACCUUGGAUCUUCUUACAACUUUUCCACCAGUUAUUUGCUAAUUCUUGAUAUUAGCAGCACUUCUUCAAAAGUUUCAUUUGAGCAAGUUUUGUACUGUCAUGAUUAUGGUGGCUCUUUAUAUAUUUUAUGGGUCAUUUAGGUGAAAUAUUUUUUA
rnacentral:misc_RNA from 1 species